UACGGGGGGGGCAAGCGUUGUUCGGAAUUACUGGGCGUAAAGGGCGCGUAGGCGGCCUGCUAAGUCACACGUGAAAUCCCUCGGCUCAACCGGGGAACUGCGUGUGAUACUGGCGGGCUUGAAUUCGGGAGAGGGAUGUGGAAUUCCAGGUGUAGCGGUGAAAUGCGUAGAUAUCUGGAGGAACACCGGUGGCGAAGGCGGCUUCCUGGACCGACACUGACGCUGAGGCGCGAAAGCUAGGGGAGCAAACGGG
rnacentral:rRNA from 1 species